AACGUAGGAGGCGAGCGGUAUCCGGAGUUACUGGGCGUAAAGCGCAUGUAGGCGGUUGGAUAAGUUGCGUGUGAAAGCUCCUGGCUAAACUAGGAGAGGACAGGCAAGACUGUUCGGCUAGAGGGUGGUAGAGGGGCACAGAAUUCGGGGUGUAGCGGUGAAAUGUGUAGAGAUCCCGAGGAAUACCAGUGGUGAAGACGGUGCCCUGGGCCAUACCUGACGCUGAGAUGCGAAAGCGUGGGGAGCGAACAGG
rnacentral:rRNA from 1 species